GUGCUCGCUCUGGCAGCACAUAUAUGAAAACUGAGACGAUACAGAGAAGAUUAGAGUGGCCUCUGCACAAAGAUGACACGCAAAUUCCCAAAGUGUUCCAUAUAUUU